GGGAAACUGGGGUCAAUUUCCGAUAGGUGAAAAUUCCUGGAAAGGUUUUUUGCCCAAAGGGCGUUUGGAGCAUGUUUUCAAGCGUUGCCUAAGGAUGGGGCCGCGACCGAUCAGGUUGUUGGUGAGGUAAUGGCUCACCAAGCCUAUUACCGGUUCGGGCCGUGGGAGCGGUAGCCCGGAGAUGGGUGCUGAGACAAGAACCCAGGUCCUACGGGGCGCAGCAGUCGCGAAAACUUCGCAAUAAGCGAAAGCUUGACGGGGCUAUCCCGAGGUGCCGUCUUGCUUGAAGAUGGCUUUUACCUAGUAUAGAUAGCUAGGAAGAAUUAAGGAGGAGGCCAAGUCUGGUGGUCAGGCCGGCCGCGGUAAUAACCAGCUUCUUCCGAAGUGGGUUGGAUAAUUUAUUUGGGCCUAAAAGCAUCCGGUGGCCGCUUGACCAAGUCCCUUGUUAACACCCAGGCGAUUUAAUCGUUGUCCUGCGGGGGAAUACUUGUCCGGCCUUGGGGGCGAAGAAGAGGCCGUCGGUAUUUUCCGGGGUAAGGGGUGAAAUCUUUAUAAUCCCCGGGAAGGACCACCAGGUGGCCGAAGGCUGGUCGGGCUUAGAACGGCGCUCGACGGGUGAGGGGAUGGAAAGCUGGGGGAGCGAAACCGGAUUAGGAUACCCGGGUAGGUCCCAGCUGGUAAACGAUGCAGGCUAAGGUGUUAGAAGCGGCUACGUUGCCGCUUCUAGGUGCCCGCAGGGAAAGCUGUUAAGCCUGCCGCCUGGGGAGUACGGGCCGCAAGGCUGAAACUUAA
rnacentral:rRNA from 1 species